GGUUAAGCGACUAAGCGUACACGGUGGAUGCCCUGGCAGUCAGAGGCGAUGAAGGACGUGCUAAUCUGCGAUAAGCGCCGGUAAGGUGAUAUGAACCGUUAUAACCGGCGAUUUCCGAAUGGGGAAACCCAGUGUGAUUCGUCACACUAUCAUUAACUGAAUCCAUAGGUUAAUGAGGCGAACCGGGGGAACUGAAACAUCUAAGUACCCCGAGGAAAAGAAAUCAACCGAGAUUCCCCCAGUAGCGGCGAGCGAACGGGGAGGAGCCCAGAGCCUGAAUCAGCAUGUGUGUUAGUGGAAGCGUCUGGAAAGGUGCGCGAUACAGGGUGACAGCCCCGUACACAAAAGCGCAUGUGCUGUGAGCUCGAUGAGUAGGGCGGGACACGUGGUAUCCUGUCUGAAUAUGGGGGGACCAUCCUCCAAGGCUAAAUACUCCUGACUGACCGAUAGUGAACCAGUACCGUGAGGGAAAGGCGAAAAGAACCCCGGCGAGGGGAGUGAAAAAGAACCUGAAACCGUGUACGUACAAGCAGUGGGAGCACCCUUCGGGGUGUGACUGCGUACCUUUUGUAUAAUGGGUCAGCGACUUAUAUUCUGUAGCAAGGUUAACCGUAUAGGGGAGCCGGAGGGAAACCGAGUCUUAACCGGGCGUUAAGUUGCAGGGUAUAGACCCGAAACCCGGUGAUCUAGCCAUGGGCAGGUUGAAGGUUGGGUAACACUAACUGGAGGACCGAACCGACUAAUGUUGAAAAAUUAGCGGAUGACCUGUGGCU
rnacentral:rRNA from 1 species